GCUGCUCCCUCGCCGCCGGGAGCCGCGGGGCCGGCGCUCGGCCGAGGAGCCGCCCGCGGGACCGGUUCAGGCGAGCCUGAGAGCUGCUCAGCCACCGUGUGCAGAGAAAUGCACGCGUUCAGCCAUUCGGCUUUGGGCCCGAGCCUUCCCGAUCGCUGCUGCUGGAAGGCGAAAUCCGUGCCACAGGUCAGGAAAAAUGAGAAAUAAAGUUUUAAGCUUCUGACGGAGUAGCGGUCUCCCCCUCCUUCGGGACUGCAGGAAUGCAGCGGAAACAGUGCCUGCAAACUUGCACCUCCCGGCGCUGCCCAAGCGGGUCGGCGUGGACAGCGGCCAGGGAGGGCUAGGCCUCUGGAGACCCGCCGCAUCCCUACCCCAACUCAGAGCGCUGUUGAAGUACCUUGGGAUGGCAGGCCGGGGCUGCCCUCAUACAGACUUCAGUCAAGAUGGCUGAGCUGUCCAAAUUGCAAAACCUGCCUUUGUCAACGCGUCCCAGGGACUGGAGAUCGGGACAACAUCACAGGGUGUGGUGUGCACGCCUGUGAUCCCAGCAUUUAGGAGGCUGAGGCAGGAGGAUCGCCCUUCAGUUCAAGCCCAGACUGGGCUACAUAAUAGUGAGUUCAAGGCCAGCCUGGGCUACAUCGGAUAACUGUCUCAAACAAAACAAAACAAAACAAAACAAACACGAAAACAAAAAAACAAGAAACGUAUUUUAGAUUGACAGCUGUCCCUUUAUUGAUAACCAGCUGUCUUGGGGCCGUUCACUAUUCUCUACUAGACAGGUGAUGAGUGCAGACAAAAUAAUCCAGGUAAUUACAAUUGUGCUAAGCAUUUUGAUGUCAAUAGCAGAGUUCACCAUGCAAAAAAAAAGUAGCGUGUGUGAGCUCAGGAUUAGUGAACCAAGUCGUAUUUUUCAGGGAUGAGGAGGUAGAGAGAGGCCUCGCCCCCGCCCCCAGCAGACUGUUUGUUUUGUAUCUAAUAAAGGGUGAAGGAAGCCCUUUUCUGAAACUGCUGCCUAAGGCCUAGAAUUUAAAUAUAUCACAGGUGGAAAUGCUGUAUUAAAAAUCCUCCUCCCCAAAAUGUAAUAUUAUUCUUGAUUGAAGUUUUUCAUUUAAAGACUGUUCCGUGAACCCGUUUAGAAAGUCAACUGCCGAAUGCUUCCUUCGGACCGUGAAAUUCUCCUAGAGAAGCAGGUCGCCUGACUAUGUCUUCUGUGGGUAGGUGACCAGAUUCUCCAAACCAGAAAUCGCGGCGUGUGGCUUGCCGUGUGCUCCGGAAGUGACCUGCAGACCUUUCGAAGCUGAAAGGGGCCUAAAAGACGCUCGCGUGUCGGCAGCAGUGGCCUGGGGUGUGAACUAGCGAAGGCUGGGCGCGAGAGAGCAACCGAGUCUCAAACCGCUAGCUGGCCCGGGUUUCACUCACCUCAUCCCACCUGCUCCUUGCGGGAAGGAAAGGCCGGGAGUUACGUGUCAAACUGAGACCUUGCCCCAAAAGAAACUGAGUUAAUUUUAGAAUCCACGCCGCCCCAGCGUCUCUGCCCCGUCCGGACGUGGCGGUCGUGCGCGAGCUUUCAGAGAAGUCUGUUCAAGCGGCCUGACGAAUGCGGAUGGACAGCCUGCCUUAUUCCAGCACCUUACGGGCUGGCGGUGAGCAGACAUGGAAACUGGACAGCCCUGUGCUCAGGGGUUGCGCCCGGGAAAUCGGGUCUUAUGUCGCAGUGUGCUAAGUGUGAUAGAAGGGGUGUGUAAAACAAGUGCAGUUGGACUUGUGCAAUUGGGCAAGUACAAGGGGCGCUUGUGGCAGCAAGGAAAGGCUGAUCUUGAACUCACUGUGUAACCCAGGCUAGGCUUGAAUUUGCAGUGAUCCUUCUGCCUCAGCCUCCUAUGCUGGGAUUAUAGGCCUGCACCACCAUGCCAAGCUCUUUACUUUUUGAGACAGGAUCUCACUAAGUUUCCCAGGGUGGGUUCAAACUUGAGACCCUCCUGCCUCAGCUUCCCAGAGUACUGGGAUAACAGGUGUGCCCACCUGGAGGGCUAAACUGAUUCUUAAAGUGCAGGCCUCCAGGGUGUGUAAUGCCUCACUUAUUCUCAGCAGGUGUCUGGGAAGGUGAGCAAAUCCGGAAAUGCCUGAUAAAGCCCCACACAUUCAGACAGCAAGGUGUGCCCGGAAACUGCAGGGCCUGGGAUUGGGAUUCCCUAACAGAAACAAGAAUGAGAAGGUGAAGGCCAUCUCCAGGACAUUGUCUUUCUCCUCCUGAGACCAGUACUAACAAUCCCACCCAGGUUGUUCUUAAGGUGUGGCUCACGGAGGUAAACAUCUGCAAGUACUCGCCUGCAAGAAUAACGACUUGAAGGCUGCUAGCAACUUGGCAACUUCUUGCUUUAUUUUUUGUUUUUUAAGAAUCCUUUUUGUUACCACCUGAGACAGAAUCAGAUCCUUGGACUCUAGGUCACAGUGUUUCAUCCUCCCCAUGUCAAUGGGUGUGUGUCACGCACCUCUGGCCAUCUGGCCCACACGUGGAAAUACACCAGUGGGGGCUUCCUUGCCACAUGAGCCUCGCCAUCCAGUCCCUGGUUAAAACUUUAUGUGAACGCCUUCGCUCAAGCGCUGCUUAAUCCCCUCAUUCUCUGCCCUUCUCCUCCCGUCCCACUGUACUUCUCAUACAAGUGCAUCCAUCCCGGACCUGUCCUUCAGACCCAGUGAUCUAACUUCCCCAACACCCCAAACUAAAGUAUUAGUUCACA